rnacentral:RNase_MRP_RNA from 1 species
CGGUUCUUUCUAGCUCAACUCUCGUGGUGCCAUACGAGUUUCUUCUCGAUAACUCUGCCUUGCUUCUGUGCUACUCCGUGGCGUUGAAGCAUACCAUGGGAAAAGUCCCCGGGCCUAGGACAGAAAGUGUCAGAACUUCAUUGGUUCCUAUUGCAGCAGUCAGAAGUCGGUGGCGGCGUCGACGCUCGUCGUCGUCGUCAUUCCUUGGCUUAGACAAUAGUUGCAAAUAAGCCAGACCUAUUCUAUAGUAAUGUUGAGAAGCGGAAGUUUGGUCUUCACUGUACCUUACUUCCUGCUGAACACAAUGGGGCUUACUACGAAGGAACU